CCCCUGUGUCCUCUAGGCCUCCCCAGACUUUGCCUUUUAGCCUUCCAGUGAAACAAGUUCUGUAUCCAAGAUAUACAAUUAAGUGGACAAAGCAGAUUGCAGAAAGUCUUUUCGUAGCUCACAAGGGGACAUCAAAGAUGACAAAGAGGAGUGGAAGAAGACAGAGAGAAUCAAUGUGAGGAGCCUGGAACAGGGCUCUGAAUUGUCUUCCCACAGUGAAAUCACUUGUCUAUUGCUGAGCCAAGAAUUUGACUCUGAGCAUCUAGGAUGAGAAAGAAGAACUGGCACCUACGCCAUCUCUGCCCCUCGGGACUGACUAUUUUGGCCCAGUUUCCUCAACAAUGAAAUGGGACUAAUUAUCCCAGGUCACACUUCUCUCUGGGCUUACCCUGGGAAUCAGAUGAUUGAGCUUUGGAUCUCACUCUGUUGCCCAGGCUGGAAUGCAGUGAUACGAUCAUGACUCACUGCAGCCUCAAACUCCUGGGUUCAAGUAACCCUCCCACCUCAGCUUUCUGAGUAACUGGGACUACAGUCUUCUAGUAAAAUUGAUGCUCCAAGAAGAUACACAACGUUGACCAUGUGGAUUCAGAUAUCUCCCGCUUGGAUCUCAGCCUGGAUCUUGUUGUUUGAGAA
ensembl:lncRNA novel transcript